CCUACGAGUGACUGCAGUGAGGAAUAUUGGUCAAUGGGCUUACGCCUGAACCAGCCAAGUCGCGUGAGGGAAGACUGCCCUAUGGGUUGUAAACCUCUUUUGUCAGGGAGCAACGCCGGCUACGUGUAGCCGGACUGAGAGUACCUGAAGAAAAAUCAUCGGCUAACUCCGUGCCAGCAGCCGCGGUAAUACGGAGGAUGCGAGCGUUAUCCGGAUUUAGUGGGGUGAAAGGGUGCUUAGGUGGAAUGCCAAGUCAGCGGUAAAAUCGCGGGGCUAAACCUCGCUCCGCAGUUGAAACUGGCGUUCUUGAGUGGAAGAGUAGUAUGCGGAAUGCGUGGUGUAGCGAUGAAAUGCAUAGAUAUCACGCAGAACCCCGAUUGCGAAGGCAGCAUGCCGGCUUCCGACUGACGCUGAAGCACGAAAGCGUGGGGAUCGAACAGGAUUAGAUACCCCAGUAGUC
rnacentral:rRNA from 1 species